ensembl:lncRNA
GAGAGAGGAAGAAGAGAGAGCAAGAAGAGAGAUCAAGAAGAGAGAGAGGAAGAAGAGAGAGAGGAAGGAGGAAGAGUGAGGCCUGGGGCGAGUUCAGCAGGACACAAAACGUUUUGGAACAUUCAGAUAGAAAUAUGUUACGUAGAACAAACAUGCAGAACAACGAAUCUUGUUGUUUUUAUCUGCAACAUUUGGCAACAGAGUGUCUCCCCCCCUACCUGCUACUCUGUGUGGUACAGAGUCAGAGUGUCUCCCCC